rnacentral:rRNA from 1 species
UAGGGAAUCUUCGGCAAUGGGGGCAACCCUGACCGAGCAACGCCGCGUGAGUGAAGAAGGUUUUCGGAUCGUAAAGCUCUGUUGUAAGAGAAGAACGUGUGUGAGAGUGGAAAGUUUACACAGUGACGGUAACUUACCAGAAAGGGACGGCUAACUACGUGCAG